rnacentral:tRNA from 1 species
GGCGCUAUGGUGUAGAGGUAUGCACACGGGACUGCGGCGCCCGCAGCCCGGGUUCGAAUCCUGGUGGCGCCU